AGUGAACGCUGGCGGUAGGCCUAACACAUGCAAGUCGAACGGCAGCACAGGAGAGCUUGCUCUCUGGGUGGCAAGUGGCGGACGGGUGAGGAAUACAUCGGAAUCUACUCUGUCGUGGGGGAUAACGUAGGGAAACUUACGCUAAUACCGCAUACUCCCUACGUGUGAAAGCAGGUGACCUUCGGUCCUUGCGCGAUAGAAUGCGCCGGUGUCGGAUUAGCUAGUUGGCGGGGGAAAGGCCCACCAAGGCGACGAUCCGUAGCUGGUCUGAGAGGAUUAUCAGCCAGACUGGAACUGAGACACGGUCCAGACUCCUACGGGAGGCAGCAGUGGGGAAUAUUGGACAAUGGGCGCAAGCCUGAUCCAGCCAUACCGCGUGGGUGAAGAAGGCCUUCGGGUUGUAAAGCCCUUUUGUUGGGAAAGAAAUCCAGCUGGCUAAUACCCGGUUGGGAUGACGGUACCCAAAGAAUAAGCACCGGCUAACUUCGUGCCAGCAGCCGCGGUAA
rnacentral:rRNA from 1 species